rnacentral:rRNA from 1 species
AACGUAGGGCCCGAGCGUUGUCCGGAAUCACUGGGUGUAAAGGGUGCGUAGGCGGGCGGGCGCGUCUGGGGUGAAAGGCUCCGGCUCAACCGGAGACAUGCCCUGGGUACGGCACGUCUUGGGUGCGGGAGAGGGCGAUGGAAUUCCUGGUGUAGCGGUGAAAUGCGUAGAUAUCAGGAGGAACACCGGUGGCGAAGGCGGUCGCCUGGCCCGCAACCGACGCUGAGGAACGAAAGCGUGGGGAGCAAACGGG